rnacentral:lncRNA from 1 species
AGAGAGAGAGAGAGAGAGAGAGAGAGAGAGAGAGAGAAAAUGUGUGAAAGUAAGGCUCCCUAUAAUGAGUUUUUUUUUUUUUUGACUGUCGGAUUGUUUUGAGUUCAGAAGAGAAAUGGUCAUUGUGCUUUUAAAUAUAGUCACUUUUACUUAUAAAGUCAUUUUCCCUUGGUGAUGGACAGAUAUGCACACAGAGACCAUCAUUUGGUCUGGGAGCUCCGGGUCCCAUUCUCCCUUGUUAGUGUUUUGGAUCAUUAAGUCGGUGUUUAUUUAAGUCACUAGGGUGUUUAUUCUCCACGUCUUGGGCCACGGAGAAAUGCCACCCUCUGCAGGAGGGGCUCUCUCAGGGAAUCUCCACACAUUCUUCACAUUCACUCCCCAAAACAAACACCCGGCACAAAGAUAGCUUUCAGUGACCCUAACAGGCUUCAAAAGAGACCGCGGAAAUCUCUCUGGAAAAUAAGGAAGGGCCAAUUACUUUAAUUUCUUACAUGCCCUCGCUUCCUACUCCGACUACCCCCCACUCUUGCAGCUCCGCUUGGCAUAAUUUUAGAGUCGUGAAAGUUCUGUAUCCCAGGGCGCGCCGGCCCACUUCCUGCUCGCUUGGUUGGUGGAUCUUGGAAAAGUCUGCAGGUCUGGCUAGCAGCUAAGACGGCCGGUCCUGUAAAAGCCCCCGUGAUUACUGCUUGUAAACUCGUUAAAAGGACAGUUUUCUGUCAUAGCCAUAAACUCUUUGUAAAAUCCCUGGCACCCGAUCCAGAAUGUGCGUAUUCCAGAUGUGUCUAACAAGAAAUUGCAGUCUGCCCUUCUCCGCCAUUCUCCGAUCAGUCUGGCUAAGAGCGGGACACGCGGGGGAAGGCGAGAAAGCUGGAUAUUGCUUAGUUUUCUUGGCAAUCAUUUUUAGAGCGAUCAUUAGUGGGGAGCUAACCAUAUUUCUUUCCCUCGAGGAAAACUGAGAGAACCAGCUGUUGAGGGGCCAAUUUGCCUUCUCGGAGUCAAAGUUUAACUGAAUCUAGAGCCACUUUUCGUUUCUCCACAGAUUUCAUAGCGAUAGCCAAAAAUAAUGAGCAGGAUCUUACAAAUAAGGCGGUUUUAGGACGAAACUUCACAGCAUUUGCCAAGCGGGGGGGGGGGUGUGUGGGGGGGAGGAACAAAAACAAAACAAAACCCCCACCAAAUCAAGUGAUGUUUUCUAAAAUGUCUUUAAUCUCGAUACAAGGUCGCCAGGAUCCGGCUUUCUUCUCCCUGUGACCCCCUGGCUGAGAAAGAAGUUUCCUAAGUAUUUGGAGGCCAAGGGGUUUGGCCAGCAGUUCCUGAGUCUUUGGUUUAACAGAUAAUAGGGACUCAAGAACUGGGAUUUCAAGACCACUGGAACUGUCAGCAGGAGGUAUUAAACCUAUCUUCUAGGCAAGGACAGCCUGGUCUUCAUCUGGAGAUGGGAUGGAAGCUCCCAGUGGAACCGCGUUGAUGGGCUAGCUCCAAGGGCUAGGCACCUCACCCCUGCGCAGCGACCCUCGGCCUCUGCAUCGUCUGUUUGCAGAGGCCGCCUUCAUAGAGGCCUCCCAGGCCUGAAGGUCUUUCGCUGGGCCCACGGGCAGGACUCCAGACCUAGGAUAGAGAGGCUUCUGCUGCAGAGAACUGGGGGAGCGUCUGUUAUCCGCCUGCUCGGGAAGCUGUUGGUGCCACUCUGCAUUAAGGAGGCAAGAGCAGUCCUGGGGCACUGAGACUUCAAGGGCAGGCUCUGCUCCCUGUAGUUUCCAAAGAGAAUCGCACCUGUCUCAGGACCGGGAUCGUAUGGCAGCUCCAGGCGCAGGGGCUUGGUGGACCCCUGAGAAGUCCCGGAGACUUCUCAGUCUCCAGUCCCGCCUGGCCUCAAGGGAGAAGAGGAGGUCUUAGGCUGGGCCCGGACAAUGCAGCUGUCCCCUUGGGCGUCUCGGGACAUCUCCCAGACUCAAGGCUCGACCUCCCUGAUGAGUUCCUAGCCCACGUGAGUGGCACAGGGCGCUCCACCGUAGGGUGACACCCAGCCCUGAAGUGGGGUAGAUUUCCUGGCUGCAAGAGGUUCCCAGAGCAAGUGUCAGCGCCCCCGGGCUUUUACACCACGCCCUGGACAGUCCGCUCGGUCCGUGCCGCCUCGGCCCCGCCGUCCGUUCCCCCGCGGCCCUUCCCACUAGACUGGAGCCUUGGCUUCGACUCCGUGACUUAAACGCCUUACCGAUCGCUGGCCAAGCAGUGCCUAUCAGGAAGGUGGCCUAAUUAGGAGUUAGCCUCCAUCUCUGCGGGUGGGGAGAGGUACCCGGGCUUCCAAAGUAUUUCUCUUAGGGCAGAGUCGUCGCUUUGCUUCCACAGUGUAGUCGGGUGGCUCCGGGGGACAGCUCCCUCUUCCCUUUGUCCAGUCCCGGAUCCCAGCCGAAAGGCACCAGCCCAGGGGCGCAGCAUUUCUGGUUCUGGCGGUUGAAGUACACAUUCUAGCCAGAUUUUAUAGACGUGGGUGGUAUUGACAGGCACAGGUGGGGUGUUCCUUUUCCAAAGCCUUCUCCCAGAAGGCUCUAAAACCUUCUAGACCACCCCCCUCCAGCGGUCCAAAGCCAGAGGAGCUAGUAUUGGUGGCCACUUUGUCUCAGGAACAUUCAGCCACUGAGGGUAUCGGAGGACUUCGUUUCCUAGUUUGCCUGUGUGUUGGAUUACCUUACCCACUAGAGAGGGCACUUCUGAGCACUCCAGGCUCUGCUCUGACUGGGUCUACAAACUCUACCUGGAAAUGUCUUUAAGAGGGACGAGCUAGAAAAAAUACUGGUGGACCAGCCAGGGACAAAAAAAAAUUAUCAAAAUUAUGUCCGAAAGCUUGGCUAUUCUUUUAUCCAGAGAAACAAAACAAAACACUGUCCGGGAAUGGUCUCGUUUUAUUGCGCACGCAGACACACAUACACUCACACACACACAACUUCGUUCCAGCUGAUGAAAUUGGAGACCUGUUCUCCUACUGAGGAUGACAAUCAGGGUUUUAGACGCUGUAUUCCUUUCAGACAGCGAGAAACAACACUGCAGUAGCGUUUAAAAACAAAGAAAAAGAGACUGCUAGGGGCCGGAAAGCUGCCUGCUCUCCAAUCCCUGCCUCAGAUCUCCUUUUAACUUGUUAAUGGAUGGCCCAGACCCGGUUUCUCAGCAGGUAGAGUACAACCCCACACUGCUUUUUAGAAAAGUACUCACUAUUCUUUACAGGAAAGCGAAAAUAUUCUCCAUGACCAAACAGAACAGUGUAGGAAAGAAAGGAAAACUAAAAGCCAAACAUCAACAGCAAGUCUUACUGAAAUGGGAGAAUGGGUUAGUUUUAUAUAUUACACAUACUUCAGUGUGCCUGAAGCGGCCACUCAAUUGUAAUUAAAUAAAAUAUGGCUGAAAGACACUGAGACUCUUUCUUCUCCCUUAUUGUUAGCGGUAGCGAUUGCCAUUGAAAGAAAAGCAGAGAGAUUCUGCUCUGUACCUUUACUUUGUGCAAUACACUCUAAAAAUGUAUGCCCCACCCCCGAAUUCAUCUGGUCCCCUUGCUGCCCUUCCCUCAAAGUUAAAAGAUAAAUACUUUAUGAGGUGGACACAGGUAGACUCUAACAGGAACAUGGUGGACUGACAGCCAAAUCUACUUUAAUAUGCCAUAUACAUUCGUUUAAUUUGGGAGUUUAAAAGGAUUGUGACUUUUAAAAUGCCAUGACUCAUUUAUAAUAGAAACAACUUUUGAGGGGGAGGUGGGGAAUUGGUGGUGAUUUCAGGAUUUGAGAUGCUGUGCAUGUGGAAUUUAAGUAAGAGUCCCAGACUCCACAUCUUUACUGACAUGUCAAGUGUGGGAUUCAUAAAGAAUACAUCUCAGUGUCCUUGAUAAUCUACAGAUCUGCGGGCAGCAGACUUGUGAGGCUGACUUUUUGGGUAUUUUUACAAACUCCAUUGUUCCCCCACCCUCUCCACACAAACUUUUUCCCCUUUGCCCUCAGGAAAGGCUCGAUCACGCUUUGGUAAAAUUUCCAUUUUGACUCUAGAAUCAUCCGAGUGGUUUAAAUACCAGGAGAAGACAAUGGGGUUGUGACCCCUGUCUCACCCAAGAACACAACAAAGUGUGGCAUCUUUGGUUGGCUCUCAUACAAAUAUUAUGCUACUGUAAGCAUCUGUAUGUGGUGACGUUCCCCUUGGCUUGUGCUGCUUCCUGUGUGUGGUAGUGAUAGGGACUGGUGUGGAGUAGAGGAAAACAGAAACUUGCAGUGUUGUUAGAGAACACUCAUUUUGACAGUGAGAUGGCAGUCUCUGCGAUAUUUUGUUUGCAGAGUUAAUUGUACCUUUAAGACAUGAGCCUAGUUAGUAUAAGGAAGACAGGGCUAGUGCUGAAGUUAUUUAGAAUGCUUUAAAGGUGGAAGUAGGUAGUCAUUUUUUAAAAAAGAUUGAGCUAGAUAGAAUGUGAGCACAUUUUACUGUCUAUGGGGCGAAAAGGACAUUUAAACAAUUGAACCUUUGUCUGCUCUCAGAUAUGUGUGGUGAAUAUCUUCUGUGCAUUGCUGAUGCUAUAUAAACAUGACACACUUCCCCUAAAGUCAAGGGUUUUUGUUUUGUUUUGUUUUUUUAAAAGAAAUUUUUAAUUGAAGAAUAAUAUUGCUCAGGGCUCUAACUCUAAGUACAAAUCACUAACCUAAGAAAAUCAGUUCUGGGAAUCUGGAACCAAUGGCUAUUUUCAAAGUAAACAGACAAAAUCUUCAUAAAAAAGGCCAGGAGGAUUAUUUUACAUGCAGUAUAUCUCCUGGUUUCCCACAAAAAAAAUUUUUUUUUGUGGAAGAACUAACAGACAGAAUGGUAAUAACAGGCUCCUUACCAUAUUUUUACUU